rnacentral:rRNA from 1 species
ACGGGGCCCGCACAAGCGGUGGAUGAUGUGGAUUAAUUCGAUGCAACGACGAAAAACCUUACCUACCCUUGACAUGCCAGGAACUUGCCAGAGAUGGCUUGGUGCCCGAAAGGGAGCCUGGACACAGGUGCUGCAUGGCUGUCGUCAGCUCGUGUCGUGAGAUGUUGGGUUAAGUCCCGCAACGAGCGCAACCCUUGUCAUUAGUUGCCAUCAUUUGGUUGGGCACUCUAAUGAGACUGCCGGUGACAAACCGGAGGAAGGUGGGGAUGACGUCAAGUCCUCAUGGCCCUUAUGGGUAGGGCUUCACACGUCAUACAAUGGUCGGUACAGAGGGUUGCCAACCCGCGAGGGGGAGCUAAUCCCACAAAGCCGAUCGUAGUCCGGAUCGCAGUCUGCAACUCGACUGCGUGAAGUCGGAAUCGCUAGUAAUCGUGGAUCAGCAUGUCACGGUGAAUACGUUCCCGGGUCUU